GCACCACCAGGGUGGAUCUUUUGUAGCAAGAGUCCUUGUCCCCAUGUCAUAUUUCCGACUGAUUUUAGUCGACUCGUUCAGCGACUCGUAUGGCAAUCGAUUGUUUGCGUUUGGUCCCAACCUGUCCUAGCAGCACUCGAAGAUUGACUACCCAACUCUUAUCUAAGAAGAAAUAGAAAGCGGGGUCGGACCCUACUACUCUUUUCCUGACUUUACUUUGUACCAUCUCGUACCCUCCGGAGCCGGGCUGUUCUGAUGCAAUGUUUUCUAAAAGUGCUGAGUGAAUAUAUCAAUAGAGAUUUCCACAAACCAAAAAUCCACAACAUCCAAAUCGGCAGCUUCAGAAACACCUUGUCCUCUAUUGUCGUCACGCCGUUCUUCUGAUCUACGGAAAGCAGCAAGCAUUCUACAAAACAAAGGCGUGAUCGGUCUGCCCACGGACACUGUGUAUGCCAUCGGAGCGUCGUGCAGACACCCGGAGUCAAUCAGGAGGCUGUAUGCAAUCAAAGAACGACCGAAAGACAAACCAAUAUGUCUAUGUCUUUCAAGCCUUAAACAACUGAAGGCAGUCCGGCCGAAUUUCAGCCCACUACUUCUCAGUUUCAUGGAGCGCUGUUACCCUGGUGGGGUCAGCUGCGUGGUCCCUAAAGGGGACUGGUUAUAUGACCUUGGCGUUGGCGACAGCUAUGAUAUAAUUGGUACUGAAAACACCAUAUGCCUCCGAAUUCCAGACAGCUCAAUAUUGGCAUAUCUGGUGUCAGUUUCCGGUCCCUUGGCCAUAACUUCCGGUAAUCCCAGUGGGUGGGUUGAUAGCACCCACCACGAUAUGCUUGUAAAGAGUUUGGGACAUAAACUGGAUGCCGUGGUUUGUGAUGGAUUAUCUAACGAAUUUUGCGCAUCUACAGU